AUGUCCCAAAGUACCGAUAGAGUACCCACAAAUAGCACCGCGUUGGCCUAAGUUGGCCAAAAGUACCGAUAGAGUACCCACAAGUAGCACUGAGUUGGCCUAAGUUGGCCAAAAGUACCGAUAGAGUACCCACAAGAAGCACUGAGUUGGCCUAAGUUGGCCAAAAGUACCGAUAGAGUACCCACAAGAAGCACUGAGUUGGCCUAAGUUGGCCAAAAGUACCGAUAGAGUACCCACAAAUAGCACCCAGUUGGCCUAAGUUGGCCAAAAGUACCGAUAGAGCACCCAAAAGUAGCACCCAAUUGGCCUAUGUUGGCCAAAAGUACCGAUAGAGUACCCACAAAUAGCACCCAGUUGGCCUAAGUUGGCCAAAAGUACCGAUAGAGCACCCACAAGUAGCACCCAAUUGGCCUAUGUUGGCCAAAAGUACCGAUAGAGUACCCACAAAUAGCACCGAAUGGGCCUAAGUUGGCCAAAAGUACCGAUAGAGUACCCACAAAUAGCACCGCGUUGGCCUAAGUUGGCCAAAAGUACCGAUAGAGUACCCACAAGUAGCACUGAGUUGGCCUAAGUUGGCCAAAAGUACUGAUAGAGUACCCACAAAUAGCACCGAAUGGGCCUAACAUGGCCAAAAGUACCGAUAGAGUACCCACAAAUAGCACCGAAUGGGCCUAACAUGGCCAAAAGUACCGAUAGAGCACCCACAUAUAGCACCCCAUUGGCCUAAGUUGGCCAAAAGUACCGAUAGAGUACCCACAAAGAGCACCCAAUUGGCCUAAGUUGGCCAAAAGUACCGCCAAGUAGCACCAUAGAGGCCCGAGUAGAGCGAAAUGUGGGCCAAAUUGAACAUUUGAAAAUUUUUACAAGUCCAGAAAAUUUUCUAAGUCCAGAAAAUUUUCUAAGUCCAAAGAGUUGGACAAAUUUCCUUAGGCCCAAAGGUUGCACUGAAUGUUCCUAAGUUGGCCAUCAGUACCCAUGAAGUAUCGCGAAGGUUCACCCGAAAGACACAAUACGCCCUAUAGUACCCACAGAGUACCCACAAGUUGCACCCAAUUGGCCUAAGUUGGCCAGAAGUACCGACAAGUACCACCAAAGAAGCCCGAGUAGAGCGAAAUGUGGGCCAAAGUACCGAGUAGUUGCCACAAAUGCCCAAAUGGAUACCAAAAUGUGGUACCAAGUACCUAACUGUUGCAACAAAUGCUAGCUUUCUGACCAAAAGCUGUGGGUCAAUUUCGUAGAAGAACCGCCUAGGCGAAAAGGCAAAAAUCGCCGAAGCUGGCCCGCUCGCAGAGCUCGCGGGCCAGGAGAUACUCAUAGGGCGAUUUACUAGAGUGGGGAACUUGAGAAUUUUUGUGUCCGAGACUUUGGGCAACUUCGCGGCCGCCCCCUUAAAGUAAAAGAUUUUCUCUGGGUGCCUAAAAUUCGCAAUUCCCGCAAAGUCGGGAAGACGUUAAAGUUUUUGCCCAAAAAAUGGCCAUCGAUUUAAGGUGAUUUUCCAAUAAGAAAAUGCUUCCUAUUUUGAAUUUUUUCGAAUAUUUCCUAAACUAAGCGUCGGAGCACAUGGCCGUGGAGGAACUUUUGGUAGCUUUUGGCAAGGGCUAUCGGAUGAAAUAAUAAGAAAGGCCAUCAGAGCGAUAUUGGAUUAAUGCGGGCUCAUAAACGCACCUGAGAAGUGAAAAUUGGUACCUUGCACGCAGGAUGCAAGAAAUGCUUGAGUGUUAACCAUCAUCGGUACCAAGUACCUAGGUUAUAUCGAGUGCGUAGAUGGAAGUCGGUACCAAAGGGAAACCUUCCUAGGCUAGGUGCACGCAAGUGAGUAUGGAUCGAUCAGUAGAAAGAUGGGAAGCCAUAGGAAACCUUCCUAGGCUAGGUGCACGCAAGUGAGUAUGGAUCGAUCAGUAGAAAGAUGGGAAGCCAUAGGAAACCUUCCUAGGCUAGGUGCACGCAAGUGAGUAUGGAUCGAUCAGUAGAAAGAUGGGAAGCCCAAGGAAACCUUCCUAGGCUAGGUGCACGCAAGUGAGUAUGGAUCGAUCAGUAGAAAGAUGGGAAGCCAUAGGAAACCUUCCUAGGCUAGGUGCACGCAAGUGAGUAUGGAUCGAUCAGUAGAAAGAUGGGAAGCCAUAGGAAACCUUCCUAGGCUAGGUGCACGCAAGUGAGUAUGGAUCGAUCAGUAGAAAGAUGGGAAGCCCAAGGAAACCUUCCUAGGCUAGGUGCACGCAAGUGAGUAUGGAUCGAUCAGUAGAAAGAUGGGAAGCCCAAGGAAACCUUCCUAGGCUAGGUGCACGCAAGUGAGUAUGGAUCGAUCAGUAGAAAGAUGGGAAGCCAUAGGAAACCUUCCUAGGCUAGGUGCACGCAAGUGAGUAUGGAUCGAUCAGUAGAAAGAUGGGAAGCCAUAGGAAACCUUGCUAGGCUAGGUGCACGCAAGUGAGUAUGGAUCGAUCAGUAGAAAGAUGGGAAGCCCAAGGAAACCUUCCUAGGCUAGGUGCACGCAAGUGAGUAUGGAUCGAUCAGUAGAAAGAUGGGAAGCCAUAGGAAACCUUCCUAGGCUAGGUGCACGCAAGUGAGUAUGGAUCGAUCAGUAGAAAGAUGGGAAGCCCAAGGAAACCUUCCUAGGCUAGGUGCACGCAAGUGAGUAUGGAUCGAUCAGUAGAAAGAUGGGAAGCCAUAGGAAACCUUCCUAGGCUAGGUGCACGCAAGUGAGUAUGGAUCGAUCAGUAGAAAGAUGGGAAGCCCAAGGAAACCUUCCUAGGCUAGGUGCACGCAAGUGAGUAUGGAUCGAUCAGUAGAAAGAUGGGAAGCCAUAGGAAACCUUCCUAGGCUAGGUGCACGCAAGUGAGUAUGGAUCGAUCAGUAGAAAGAUGGGAAGCCAUAGGAAACCUUCCUAGGCUAGGUGCACGCAAGUGAGUAUGGAUCGAUCAGUAGAAAGAUGGGAAGCCAUAGGAAACCUUCCUAGGCUAGGUGCACGCAAGUGAGUAUGGAUCGAUCAGUAGAAAGAUGGGAAGCCAUAGGAAACCUUCCUAGGCUAGGUGCACGCAAGUGAGUAUGGAUCGAUCAGUAGAAAGUGGGAAGCCCAUCACCAAAUGCCCUAGUGAAGACCGUAAACGAAUAUCAUGAACCGAUAAGGAGCACCAAAUGCCCUAGUGAAGACCGUAAACGAAUAUCAUGAACCGAUAAGGAGCACCAAAUGCCCUAGUGAAGACCGUAAACGAAUAUCAUGAACCGAUAAGGAGCACCAAAUGCCCUAGUGAAGACCGUAAACGAAUAUCAUGAACCGAUAAGGAGCACCAAAUGCCCUAGUGAAGACCGUAAACGAAUAUCAUGAACCGAGAAGUAGCAACGAAUGCCUGAAAAAGUACCAAGUCCUCGGUAUAGAGUAACGAGAGUUAACCGCCGUGAUGUAUGCAAUGUGGGCAGCCAUUGCAUGGGUUCUGGACUUGGUUCGCGAAUAACUUUUUUGCUAGACAUCGGACAAAGUUGACGUGGAAGAACGAAAUGUAGCAUUUGAUGCCACCUAUCCAAAACUUUUUCAAGAUUGAAGAUCCGAUCGAUACAGCCUGAGUUAUAGGCAAAAGUUGGUGCAAAAACGAGCAUUUUUAAUGGUGAAAAAUCGGUACUCCUCGAAUAGCUCCUGUUGGAAGCAUCGGACCACAUGGUCGUGGAGGAACAUAUUGUAGCGCGCGGUGUCAAGUAUCGACACCCAAAACCGCAUGUCCGAUGGACGGAAAAUGACCAAGUUAUAGUGAAAACUUGGUUGCACCAAAUUCCCGAAGAAGUGCAACGAGAAGGUGAAUGCGAUGGUUGUUCGUCGAAUAGCUCCGGCCACAGACAUGGUAGCGAUUAGUGGUGCAUGGAAGAAAUCUAGCCACAAGUGCCAUCUACCCAUGGCCAGAAGAAAGUGUGGCCAUAUCUUGGAUACCGGCGGAGCUAUGGGGCAAAUACGGGCCAAAAAUGGUGCAAGUUGGACCAAAAAUCCGAAAAAGUACCUAGGUAAAUGCGAUGGUUGUUCGUCGAAUAGCUCCGGCCAGAGACAUGGUAGCGAUUAGUGGUGCAUGGAAGAAAUCUAGCCACAAGUGCCAUCUACCCAUGGCCAGAACAAAGUGUGGCCAUAUCUUGGAUACCGGCGGAGCUAUGGGGCAAAUACGGGCCAACAAUGGUGCCAGGUGGACCAAAAAUCCGAAAAAGUACCUA